rnacentral:lncRNA from 1 species
GAAGAAGUACCCCGGAGAUGUUGAGGAAUCUCUGUGUUCAGAUCCUAUGCCAGAGAACACAAGGGCAGCAUGGCCCUGGGCCACUUCACAAUCCAGCUGGCAAAUCAAAUAGACACAGAAGAAACUCAGGAACCCUCACGAGGGGGAUAGACAAAAAAACUCCAGUCGCCCAUUGGCCUUCCUUCUGUGAAUCCAUCUUUGGCUCUCCCCGGGGCAGAAAGAUGGAGGCCCUAGAGAAGAUAACUUGAAACUCAGCUCCUGCCUUCCAGAAGCCCUCAGAGCAUCAGGGAAGAGAAAGUGCAGCCACCACUCCGAGGGAAGAGGCAAGGCAAGCCAGUGCUGCUCAGCCUCUACCUGUGGCUGAACCUGAGACUCUGCAUUUCUGGCCAGCAACGCAGGAGAUGCGAGGCUGCAGUCUCAGUCGCAUCUGGAGUGGCUGGGAGUGGAGCAGGUGUGGGGAAGACACCAGAGAACGGAGGCAGGCAGAGCAGGAUGAGGCUGAAGCCAAGUGGUCGGGGACCGGGGACUGGGAUCCAGCCACAGCUUGGCUCUUACUUCAUUUGUUAGUUUCCAUCCCACAAAUCACAGUGUACAGCCUCACCAAGUGCCCACCUGCCCCGCUUCACCGAGGUCCCUAAGCAACACUGACACAGAAUUGACCAGGGCU